CGAAGAUGAGGCAGAUUGUCCUGGGGGGCAAAAGACGGCCGGGCUGGGAAUGAGGCGUUCCGACCCCACGGCAGCACAGCCCCACACAGCGCCAAAGGGGCCGCCCGGGAGCCCCGCCGGCUGCAGCGGGGUCGAGGCCAUCAGCCCACUGCCUGGAGCCCGGCUGCUGCUGGCUGGGCACAGGGUAAUGAGGGGAUACUCACUUCAUCCAGAAGGCGAGCCCACGUCUCCUCGCCUGCUCCUUCUUCUCCUGUAGGUGAAGACGGGGCAGGGGUGCUGGUCAGGCCCUGCUGCACAGCCGGAGCUCGUGCAGGACAGUGGCAGCCCCAGCACUGCAGGGAGCCCUGUCCCCGAGGAGAACCUUGUCGGACAGGGUGAGGGUGCGCUGGGCUCUGCCCCUUACCAGCUCUGCCUCCACCAGCUUCGGCAGCACAGCCCCAGGCACGUGGGCUGCCUCCAGCUCCAGCUGAUGCUGCUGCCUGUAGGGAACAAGGCCUGCUUGGAGGGUGCCGGCCUCUGUCAGCACGCAGGCUCCCCAGCAGUGCGUGCCCACCCCCGGGCUGGGGUCGGGCUGCUCUGUCACACCAUGUGCCCAACUGAAACCCAAGCCCCAAGCCCAGCAGCACUGCAGUCCCGUUGCUGCCCCGGGUGCUGCAGAGGCCCAGUCCCACUCACCAGGCACCCUCCAGCUCCAGCUCCUCCCGCUCCUCUUGCAGGCGCUGUUUUUCCUGGCGCAGCACCUGGCAGACAAAAGCGUGAAUGCCCGUGCCCGCUGCAGACGUCCUCCAGGUCCCCACGCGGGGGCGGGC
rnacentral:lncRNA from 1 species